rnacentral:lncRNA from 1 species
GUCGGACGUCUCCUAGACCGUCACCGUGGCGUGUUUGUGAGGAAAUGAAAGUGAAAGUGGGAGUUAGCGCUCACUCCGCGCCAUGCCUUCCCAACUGGCUUGUAGCGAGUCUAAGGUGCACAAGGAGAUUCUACAGCUGUUAUCUCAACACCCUUCUGGACUGAAGGUAUCUGACUUCACUGCAGCCUAUCGGAAAAAGUACUGUAAAGAUCUAGUCCUCUCCAGACAUGGAUUCAAUAAGCUGACAGGUCUUUUCAACGCCAUGAAGGAUUUUGUGGAUAUUCUGGAGUUAAAUGGAGAUCAAUUUGUCAAGAUUAAGUCGAAGCACAUUCUCCAAGACCAGGUCUCAGCAUCCUGUCACUAUGAGGACCCACGGCAUUCACGAGAAGACUCCCCGGUUACCGCUCUGUCUUGCCAGCACAGCUCACUCUUGUCUAAGGUGCACGAGGAGAUUCUACAGCUGUUGUCUCAACAUCCUUCUGGACUGAAGGUAUCUGACUUCACUGCAGCCUAUCGGAGAAAGUACUGUGAAGAUCUAGUCCUCUCCAGACAUGGAUUCAAUAAGCUGACAGGUCUUUUCAAAGCCAUGGAGGAUUAUGUGGAUAUUCUGGAGUUAAAUGGAGAUCAAUUUGUCAAGAUUAAGUCGAAGCACAUUCUCCAAGACCAGGUCUCAGCAUCCUGUCACUAUGAGGACCCACGGCAUUCACGAGAAGACUCCCCGGUUACCGCUCUGUCUUGCCAGCACAGCUCACUCUUGGUGAGAAAGACUGCUGAACUCCUAAUAUCUACUAAUAUAUACUUGGAAUUCCUUCACUUCCUUCUGCCCUUUUCACAGAUGGUAGAAAUAGUCAUUGUGCAUGUACUCAG